rfam:Lachnoclostridium sp. YL32, complete genome.
GCAAAUACGCAGAUAGGGAAGAGUAGACAACCGGAUGGAUGCAGAGAGCCGGCGGCUGGUGAGAGCCGGUGACGGAUGGUUGUUGAACUGGCCCUGGAGUAGCCUGCCCCAACGAGGAAGGACCACCGGAAACGGGGACCGGGAGCCAGUAGGACAGGACGGAGACCUUACCGUUAUAAGAGGAUUAAGCGCAUGCGUCAGACAGCAUGAACCAGAGUGGUACCGCGCGGGGAUUUUCAGCCUUGCGUCUCUAGC